rnacentral:rRNA from 1 species
GAUGAACGCUAGCGAUAGGCUUAACACAUGCAAGUCGAGGGGCAGCACAAGGUAGCUUGCUAUCUGGGUGGCGACCGGCGCACGGGUGCGCAACGCGUAUGCAACUUGCCCUAUACAGGAGGAUAACCCGUCGAAAGACGGACUAAUACUGCGUAUGCUCACAACUUGGCAUCAAGUGGUGAGGAAAGAAAUUCGGUAUAGGAUAGGCAUGCGUCCCAUUAGCUUGUUGGUGAGGUAACGGCUCACCAAGGCAACGAUGGGUAGGGGUACUGAGAGGUUUAUCCCCCACACUGGUACUGAGACACGGACCAGACUCCUACGGGAGGCAGCAGUGAGGAAUAUUGGUCAAUGGGCGCGAGCCUGAACCAGCCAAGUCGCGUGAAGGAUGACUGUCUUAUGGAUUGUAAACUUCUUUUAUACGGGAAUAACAAGAGUCACGUGUGACUCCCUGCAUGUACCGUAUGAAUAAGCAUCGGCUAACUCCGUG